CCAGCAUGGGUGGAAUCCCAGGGGAUUCCAGAGGGGAGAGGUGAGGGGCAGAAGGGAUCAGCUGGAAGCAGGACAAGGACAUGGUAGAUCUCAGAGGAAAUCAUGAGAGAUUUUGCUGCAUUCACCAAAGUCAAUGGAAAAAAAAAAAAGAAAUACAGAUAUAAAAGCAAUACUGAGACAGCUCUUUAAGCUACAGCUCAACUUGAGAAAGUUUGAUGGCAUCAAUUCAGACCUGAAAUGUCAUGGAGGCAAUCAGGCACAGCAAAGGGAGAGCCAGGACAGGGUCAGUGGGUAUAGACAGAAAAAUAGAUUUGGGAGUUGUCAGCAAAAAUGUGACACUAAAACCUGUGAGCAUCAACAACAGUGCCCUAAAGAAGGAAUAAAUACAGGAGAGAAGAGCAAGCAAAGUGAUAUCUCUGUGGCUAUGAGCAAUUGGGGACACUCUGGAAACAAAAGAGCAAAUAUCAGAUUGUCAGGAUAAGAACCUGAGGAAGGCCAACAUAUUACAGCCUAAAUAAAAAAAAAAAAAUAAAUAAAAAAAUCAGAAAAUGCAUCAAUCUCAGUGCCCACAGCAGUGAAUGGACUAGAAAAAAAACCACAAGGUGCAAUUCACAGACGUGGCAAUAUUGAAGUGGGAGCAGCCUGUAACCUACAGACAAUAUUUAGAAAGAAUUGUUGUAUAUUUGAGCAAAAGAAAAUUCAUCUACAAAUAUGA